AUAGUCAGUGCUUCCUGUAUAGUGCUGCUCUCUGUCUUGGGAUAUUAUACACAAACAGACCUGUAUUAUACAGAGAGCAGCACUAUACAGGGAGCACUGAGUGUCCCAAUUUAUUAUACACACAACCCUGUAUUAUACAGAGAGCACUGACUGUCCAGGGAUAUUAUACCCAGACAGUAAUUGAUAGCUGUGCUGCAAAAUGUCCUUGGAAAUUCUUUUUCAAAUGUUGGCAACUAUGGCACUGUAUCAAGGAUAAUGUGUUUGUUUUUUUAAUAAUCCCUGGUGGAAAAUCAUGAUUCCUCCACCAGGUAUUAUUAAAAAAACAAAACACAUUGUGUCGGGGGCGUGGCUUAACAUGUGACAGGGGCGGGGUCAAACUGCAGCGAGGGCGGGGUUAAAUGUGCCCCCCUACUUUUGUCACUGGCCCUCCAUGUGCCCCCCCGAAAAAUGAAUCCUAGAGACACCACUGUCCAGGGUGUAUUCUUUAAUAAAUAGUAUGUGUUUGUGGGGAAGUUUCAAUAACCAACCGUCUAAACUACUCCAAAUUGGAACAUGGACACAGCGUAAAACUUAAAAGUUAGAAAAAAAACUGAAUGGCUGCGUCUCAAAUGCGCCCCUUCAACAUCCACAUAUACCUGGCAAAGGUACAUACGGGGGUAUUGCUGUACUCAGCCGACAUAGCUGAGCAACAUAUGAAGUAUUUUACAGUCAUAGCACACAUGCAAACUCACUUUGUAUGUCAAAAAGGCAGAAAAAACGCUUAUUACCACUACACUUGGUACAAGCUGGCGGAAAAAUGAUCCCACGCUAAGGUUCAAAAUAUGCCAUUUGAAAUACCCUGGGAUGUCUUCUUUAAGAAAUGGUAUGGCUUUAUGGGGUAUUUGGAUUAUAUAGCCUGGUAAAAUACUCUAAAAUGGGACAUAGGCACAGCGUAAAAAUUCAAAGUUUGAAAAAAAACUGGAAUGGCUGUGUCCCAAAUGUGCCCCUCCGAUGUCCACACAUACCUGGCAAAGGUACAUACGGGGGUAUUGCUGUACUCAGCCGACAUAGCUGAGCAACAUAUGAAGUAUUAUACAGUCGUAGC